GAAGCAUCUUCAGAGUUGUUGAUGUUGCUUGCACUAUUAAUAGGUACUAUAGCUUCCCAAUAAGCACUUAAUUUGAGAGGAAGAUUGUCUCUAACUCUCUUUGCAACCAUAUGACCAUAAGGACCAUGCCCAUCAAACACUCCACAGAAGACUGUAUCCGUCCUAGAACCAAAACUUAAUUGUUUCUAUACUAACCUCCCAAACAACCAUGGCAUCUUGAUUAGGCCCUUUCUUGCCUUGCUGAGUGAAGAUACAAGCAGCCUCACUUGCUCCAUUCAAGUACAUCCGGCCCGGGACUCUAUGCAAGGGAUCAUCUCUCCUUGAAUCAAAGGAGGAGUUUCUGGAACCGAGUCUCUUCUUAGAGUUUUUUCUCUUCUUCACACCAAAGCCAGGAGAGCAAGGAGAGCCAGGUGUGGGACUCCUGGUCUCAGCAGAUAGACAGGACCCCAUUCUCAGGGCCCUGAUUAUAUUAACAAGGCACUCCAGACCAACUGUUGUACAAUCACACCCACGGUGGUCCUCCAGCGAGAAAGAUUGAGGCUUUAGAUCCAGAUUAUCACCACAGAGAGCAAUGAUGGGAUUCAGGUAAGGAAAGAGAUAUCUGUAAAU